GAGUUUGAUCAUGGCUCAGAUUGAACGCUGGCGGCAUGCCUUACACAUGCAAGUCGAACGGCAGCGGGGGAAAGCUUGCUUUCCUGCCGGCGAGUGGCGAACGGGUGAGUAAUACAUCGGAACGUGCCCUGUAGUGGGGGAUAACUAGUCGAAAGAUUAGCUAAUACCGCAUACGACCUGAGGGUGAAAGUGGGGGACCGCAAGGCCUCAUGCUAUAGGAGCGGCCGAUGUCUGAUUAGCUAGUUGGUGGGGUAAAGGCCUACCAAGGCGACGAUCAGUAGCUGGUCUGAGAGGACGAUCAGCCACACUGGGACUGAGACACGGCCCAGACUCCUACGGGAGGCAGCAGUGGGGAAUUUUGGACAAUGGGCGAAAGCCUGAUCCAGCAAUGCCGCGUGUGAAGAAGGCCUCGGUUGUAAGC
rnacentral:rRNA from 1 species